rnacentral:rRNA from 1 species
UACGGAGGGGGCUAGCGUUGUUCGGAAUUACUGGGCGUAAAGCGCACGUAGGCGGCUUUGUAAGUUAGAGGUGAAAGCCUGGUGCUCAACACCAGAAUUGCCUUAAGACUGCAUCGCUUGAACGUCGGAGAGGUGAGUGGAAUUCCGAGUGUAGAGGUGAAAUUCGUAGAUAUUCGGAAGAACACCAGUGGCGAAGGCGGCUCACUGGACGACUGCUGACGCUGAGGUGCGAAAGCGUGGGGAGCAAACAGG